rnacentral:rRNA from 1 species
GAAAGAAUAUCGGAGACGGAUGGGCAUGCGGCGCAUUAGCUGGUUGGCGGGGUAACGGCCCACCAAGGCGACGAUGCGUAGGGGUUCUGAGAGGAAGGUCCCCCACACUGGUACUGAGACACGGACCAGACUCCUACGGGAGGCAGCAGUGAGGAAUAUUGGUCAAUGGGCGAGAGCCUGAACCAGCCAAGUCGCGUGAGGGAGUACUGCCCUAUGGGUUGUAAACCUCUUUUGUCGGGGAGCAAAAGCCGGACGUGUCCGGCUGUGAGAGUACCCGAAGAAAAAGCAUCGGCUAACUCCGUGCCAGCAGCCGCGGUAAUACGGAGGAUGCGAGCGUUAUCCGGAUUUAUUGGGUUUAAAGGGUGCGCAGGCGGAUUUUUAAGUCAGCGGUCAAAUCGUGGGGCUCAACCCCAUCCAGCCGUUGAAACUGGGGAUCUAGAGUGUGCGAGAGGUAUGCGGAAUGCGUGGUGUAGCGGUGAAAUGCAUAGAUAUCACGCAGAACCCCGAUUGCGAAGGCAGCAUACCGGUGCACAACUGACGCUCAGGCACGAAAGCGUGGGUAUCGAACAGGAUUAGAUACCCUGGUAGUCCACGCAGUAAACGAUGAAUGCUACCUGUUUGGCCAGAUUGAAGGCUGA